ensembl:lncRNA
CCCAGGGACUGCUCUAAGGUGCUUGGGGUGAGGACAGGGAAAGCCAGAGACAGCUAGAAGCAACGCUAAGAAGAUGAAUCGUUGGCACACGGGAUGGAUUAGAUCUCUGUCUGCUUCUCAAGACAGUGAUGGACCAUGUGCAAAGCAGUCCUGCCCCUUCAGUGGUUCCUGAUGCGUCUCUGUACCUUGGGAGACAGCUCCUCUUGGGCAUGGACAGCGUCUGCUUCUUUGCCUGAUCUCAGAGCUCAGGAGCACAGCAGGCCUGCAGAAGAGAGGGCAGAUGACUUAGGCUUCCCCCACUCGACUCCCAGCGAGCAGCGAAUAAGUGAUUGCAAAGCGUUUUAUAGGAGUCAAGUGCCCUUUUGAUGUGACAUAGGAAUAGUAUAAAAAAAAAAUCCCCUCUCUUGAAGGGUCAGUGAUUCAUUUCUUUCUACACGUCUGUGUCCAUUGAAGCCUUUUUCUCUGCACCCAGUUAACAACAGAAAGGGAUUGCGGGCCUCGGCCAGAUCAAGGACAGAAUAAUAGAAGCCUGGUUGAAACUCUGUUGCCCACGACUCUUACUGCUCAGUGCUGACGGUGAUGGUGAUGAUCUCUUCUGAGUUCUUGCCGGAUCCAAGGAAGCUUCAACAGAGCUGGACAAGUUCACACGUCCUAGGAAGACUCUGGGUGGACUUCACUGAAUUCCUGAAAUUGGAAGUAGAAUGCAUGUAUGUAGUCACUCAGUUCUCUGCAAGAAAGAGUACAGCUUUAAUGAAGUUCUCAAAAAGGCCAUGAAGCAUGUGGGAUCUUAGUUCCCCAACCAGGGAUCGAACCUGUGUCCCCUGCAUUGAGAGUGCAGAGUCUUAAC